CUUGGUCAUUUAGAGGAAGUAAAAGUCGUAACAAGGUCUCCGUAGGUGAACCUGCGGAGGGAUCAUUACACAAAUAUGAAGGCGGGCUGGAACCUCUCGGGGUUACAGCCUUGCUGAAUUAUUCACCCUUGUCUUUUGCGUACUUCUUGUUUCCUUGGUGGGUUCGCCCACCACUAGGACAAACAUAAACCUUUUGUAAUUGCAAUCAGCGUCAGUAACAAAUUAAUAAUUACAACUUUCAACAACGGAUCUCUUGGUUCUGGCAUCGAUGAAGAACGCAGCGAAAUGCGAUAAGUAGUGUGAAUUGCAGAAUUCAGUGAAUCAUCGAAUCUUUGAACGCACAUUGCGCCCUUUGGUAUUCCAAAGGGCAUGCCUGUUCGAGCGUCAUUUGUACCCUCAAGCUUUGCUUGGUGUUGGGCGUCUUGUCUCUAGCUUUGCUGGAGACUCGCCUUAAAGUAAUUGGCAGCCGGCCUACUGGUUUCGGAGCGCAGCACAAGUCGCACUCUCUAUCAGCAAAGGUCUAGCAUCCAUUAAGCCUUUUUUUCAACUUUUGACCUCGGAUCAGGUAGGGAUACCCGCUGAACUUAAGCAUAUCAAUAAGCGGAGGAA
rnacentral:rRNA from 3 species